UUCCGGGCGAUCAGAAGCCAGGGAUCUCUGGGGCGACCGGGGAGGCCCCUGCUCUCGUCCUCCGACGCUCAGCGCUGGCCCAGCGGCGACCUUGGGCUCCCGGAGCCCGGCGGAGGCGCCCAGGCGUGAAUGGUGUCCCUUGGAAUGUUCACUCUGGGGGAAGCCAGCUGCCAUGCUGUAAGGACACUCGGGCAGUCCUAUGAAGAGGCCCGUGUGGUGAGAAAGUGAGGCCUCCAGCCAACAGCCAUAGAUGGGGUCUUGCUAUAUUGCCCAGUUGGAGUGCAGUGGUUAUUUACAGACAGGAUCCCACUACUGAUCAGCAUGGGAGUUUUCACCUGCUCCAUUUCCCACCUGGGAGGUCAUCAUAUUGAUGGCGAGCUUAGUGUGGACACCUGAUCAGCAUAGCACAGUACAGCCCAGAACCCCUGGGCUCCAGUGAUCCUCUUACUUCAGCCUCUUGAGUAGCUGGAACUACAGGCCUGCACCACUGCACCCGGCUAGUUUGUUUUUGUUAGAGUUUUGUCUCUAGGAUUUUCCUCAGCUGAGUAUGUGAAGGCUAACUUCUCCUUGUGAAUCUGCAAAUAUCCUUAUUUUACCCUUUAUUUUACCAUGUAUCAUUUACAGGUAAAUGAUAUCUUAGCUGUGUAUUGAAUUUCUGGUUUUUGUUUUUUCUUCAGUACUCUAUAAAUAUUACUCCAAUAUCUUCUAACUUCUCCCAUUUUCUCCUAGUGAAUAGUUAUUCUGCUCUUAUCUAGCAGGUGAUAAAUCUGUCAACAGAUAGUUUUUCCUUUUUGUUUUA
rnacentral:antisense_RNA from 1 species